rnacentral:sRNA from 1 species
AAAAUGCUGUAAACGGAUUUAAAGGGGCAUUUA